AGCCAUGAAGGUCAUCGGAAGAAAGCCAGGUUCCUGGAGAGUGGAGGGAUGUUGAUGAUGGAGCGGAAGGUCACUGUCAGCUCUCCUGCCUCCUGCCUCAGCCUGCCCAGCCCCCCAUCCGCUUCCAGCACCGCGGAAUCCUCUCUGCUCCUUCUCAGCACCAGAAAGCCACCUCUAUCUUCUCCGUCUCAGAGGGGAGCCUGGGGUGUCACGACCUGCCCGCGCCCCCCCAUCCCAGGACCCUUUGUCUUUGCGUUUGCUCCCCACUCUGUCACCUGGCCCUCCCAGCGCCUUGUGGGAUCAGAGGCGGGAGGGGGAUUAGGUUCUGCAAAUGGCUCCCCCUGCCCGCCUCCUGCCUCCUGUCUUAGUCAUCUCUGCCCUCCGCUGCCUGCUCCCUCCAUCACAAUCCCUCUGCCAGGCCUUGGGGAGGACCACACUGGCAGGCGCCCCCGACCCGGGGGCAGCGGCGAGGCCAGGGGCGGCAGCUGAGAAGCGACCCGAAGUGUUUUCUCCCCCCCUUCCUCGCCCCGCAGCCCGCGCCCCCCCUGCGCCGCGCUGCGCACGGAUGGCGGCGGGAGCCGCAGAGAUGGGAUCAUACUAAAUACUUUAGGAUUCUGUGUCACUGAUAAUCACGCCAGCAGACUGGGCCUCCUGGGGAAAUUCAGUCUCACGCCUCAGCAGAGACCUGUUGCAUCAUGACCUGUAUUUAAAAAGAACCAAGGACUCCAGGAAAUUUCUGUGCACAUCAAAGUUGGAGAAGUUCUUAUAUAUACUGUGUGCAACUUUCCUUUUAGAAGCAAUGUCUUAGACAUCUUCCAAAUCUGCCACGUUCCUUGUUCA